rnacentral:tRNA from 1 species
GCUGUGAUGGCCGAGUGGUUAAGGCGUUGGACUUGAAAUCCAAUGGGAUCUUCCCGCGUAGGUUCGAACCCUACUCGCAGCG